AGCAGCCGCGGUAAUUCCAGCUCCAAUAGCGUAUAUUAAAGUUGUUGCAGUUAAAAAGCUCGUAGUUGAACUUCGGGGUUCACCCAUUGGUCAGGCUUAAUUGUCUGCACUGGUGAGAUGAGUCUCUACCUUCUGAGGAACUUUCAUGUCAUUAAUUUGGUGUGAUGGGAAAUCAGGACUGUUACUUUGAAAAAAUUAGAGUGUUUAAAGCAGGCUAACGUCUGAAUACAUUAGCAUGGAAUAAUGAAAUAGGACGGACUGAUUCUAUUUCGUUGGUUUCUAGGAUCACCGUAAUGAUUAAUAGGGAUAGUUGGGGGCAUUAGUAUUCAAUUGUCAGAGGUGAAGUUCUUGGAUUUAUUGAAGACUAAUUACUGCGAAAGCAUUUGCCAAGGAUGUUUUCAUUAAUCAAGAACGAAAGUUAGGGGAUCGAAGACGAUCAGAUACCGUCGUAGUCUUAACCAUAAACUAUGCCGACUAGGGAUCGGAUGAUGUUUAAUUUUUAAUGACUCU
rnacentral:rRNA from 1 species